AGCAAAACCGAAGCUAUUGGAAAACUUUCCUGUGUGCCAAAGCGAGAGAGCAUGUCUUCUUUCUCUAGAUUUUGGACGGCACAACGCCGAUCGUGUGGCCUAUGAACGAAAAACGGGAGAAGGGGAAACCGAUAUCCUUCGAGUGACACACACGCAUGCAUCUGCAUGCGUAUUCCGCUGAACCGAGACUACACAUCUCUCUCGAUCUCCCAUGAUUUUUCUGCCAUCGCGCUCAUCCGGGUGUUAGGCAUCCUCAGUCUGUCCAGAACUUUCACUGUGGAAGGGUGUGUUGGAGUGAUGUGUGAUUUCUUGUGCCCCGUACUUUGCUCAUUUACGUUUUGUGCCGUGUUCCUUCUUCUUCAAAUAUGGAAUGAUUUAUCCUUGUAAAUUUCUAAGUUACAGUGCACGCGCAUGUUAAUCGACGGUUGCCAACAUCCAGCAAAACGAUCGACAGAAGGAAAACGGUGUCCGGUUUUAAAAUAUAAAGAUUUCAUUACAGCUCUUUCGUAGAAGAGCGCACUUCAAGGACGCCUAGGAUACGGCUAAACAUGCGCAGCACCAGUCCGUGACGUCAUUUCCAGACAGGCGCCGGCUGAACACGCGCAGCACCAGUCGAGGAUGUCCUAGCGCAGAGGGUAGAGGGAAGAACGAGAGGAAGGGUAACAGAAAGCAACCGCAGCAUUUGGAAGGGGUGAAGCAUCCUGCCGUAUACAGAGUGUGAGUGUGCCAAAACGCAUGUGGAAAGAGUAACACCAAUAAAUAGCAUGCGAAAGUGUGCAUAAAGCAAAAAGAAAAAGCGUCACUACUACAACCAGCAAUCCGAAAAUAUAAGGGGAGGGAUAAAUACAAAUGUAUGCGUAAGCAGGACCAGCAAUCCAAGCAUUUGAAUGUGUGCGUCGGUUUGUGCCGUGCUGAAAGUUUUUACUUUAGCUGCUGCUAGUGUAAAAACUUAAGGAAAGCUUAAAGUAAAAAUUUUUUACACGGGGCGCCUUCGGAAAUUGUUGGCUGGGUGUAUGCCAGCGCCUACAUGUACGGUCCAAAACAGCCGAAGUCAUACAAAAUCAUGAAAAAGUCUGCGCCUUUGUGUUCCGGCUAUUCCGUCGGGUAAACCCGACCUUUACUGAGACAACCCGAAUAGUUGAAUUCGUUAAACAUGUGUGCGUUUCAGGUAGCAGCAUUUGUACUGCUUACCUGCCGUAUGCCGCUGUGAUACCGAGCGAGACGCAUAGACAACGCGUCUGGAGGACAUGUGUAGCCGUGAGGAAACUUUUCUGUGUUUCUUUUGCCUUGUCCUUGCCUUUAGAUCCUGAUAAGUGAAGCAUGCAUACCUUUCGGGUACGUUCGGGGUAUAAGCCCUGUCCCUCUCAUGUUAAUGGUGAAGAUAGAAUCGUAUGCAAUCGGCUCUGCAUUCGGGCGUGGGCAGGCACGUGCCCAACCAGCAAAACCGAAGCUAUUGGAAAACUUUCCUGUGUGCCAAAGCGAGAGAGCAUAUCUUCUUUCUCUAGAUUUUGGACGGCACAACGCCGAUCGUGUGGUCUAUGAACGAAAAACGGGAGAAGGGGGAAACCGAUAUCCUUCGAGUGACACACACGCAUGCAUCUGCAUGCGUAUUCCGCUGAACCGAGACUACACAUCUCUCUCGAUCUCCCAUGAUUUUUCUGCUAUCACACUCAUCCGGGUGUUAGGCAUCCUCAGUCUGUCCAGAACUUUCACUGUGGAAGGAUGUGUUGGAGUGAUGUGUGAUUUCUUGUGCCCCGUACUUUGCUCGUUUACGUUUUGUGCCGUGUUCCUUCUUCUUCAUUUAUGGAAUGAUUUAUCCUUGUAUUUCUAAGUUACAGUGCACGCGCAUUUUAAUCGACGGUUGCCAACAUCCCGCAAAACGAUCGACGGAAGGAAAACGGUGUCCGGUUUUAAAAUAUAAAGAUUUCAUUACAGCUCUUUGGUAGAAGAGCGCACUUCAAGGACGCCUAGGAUACGGCUAAACAUGCGCAGCACCAGUCCGUGACGUCAUUUCCAGACAGGCGCCGGCUGAACACGCGCAGCACCAGUCGAGGAUAUCCUAGCGCAGAGGGUAGAAGGAGGAACGAGAGGAAGGGUAACAGAAAGCAACCGCAGCAUUUGGAAGGGGUGAAGCAUCCUGCCGUAUACAGAGUGUGAGUGUGCCAAAACGCAUGUGGAAAGAGUAACACCAAUAAAUAGCAUGCGAAAGUGUGCAUAAAGCAAAAAGAAAAAGCGUCACUACUACAACCAGCAAUCCGAAAAUAUAAGGGGAGGGAUAAAUACAAAUGUAUGCGUAAGCAGGACCAGCAAUCCAAGCAUUUGAAUGUGUGCGUCGGUUUGUGCCGUGCUGAAAGUUUUUACUUUAGCUGCUGCUAGUGUAAAAACUUAAGGAAAGCUUAAUGUAAAAAUUUUUUACACGGGGCGCCUUCGGAAAUUGUUGGCUGGGUGGACGCCGUUUGUACGCAGACUAUAAGAACGGACCUCCGGACGAUUCCGACUCCGAACGACUCCGAACGACACCGAACGACUCCGAACGACUUCGAACGACUUCGAACGAGUUCGAUCGACUUUGAACGACUUCGAACGACUCCGGCCGACUCCGAACGACUUCCGAAGGCUCCGAACGAAUCCGGGCGGAUCUAGUGGUUCCAUUUUGCAGGAAUCGGAAUCGGAUUAACAAUUGCCGGAUUCGGAUCGAAGUCGUGGGUGCGCUCCAGAGAGCACAUCAUUAAUGU